AUUGAACGCUGGCGGCAUGCUUUACACAUGCAGGUCGAACGGUAACAGGCCGCAAGGUGCUGACGAGUGGCGAACGGGUGAGUAAUGCAUCGGAACGUGCCCAGUCGUGGGGGAUAACGCAGCGAAAGCUGUGCUAAUACCGCAUACGAUCUAUGGAUGAAAGCGGGGGACCGUAAGGCCUCGCGCGAUUGGAGCGGCCGAUGUCAGAUUAGGUAGUUGGUGGGGUAAAGGCCUACCAAGCCGACGAUCUGUAGCUGGUCUGAGAGGACGACCAGCCACACUGGACUGAGACACGGCCCAGACUCCUACGGGAGGCAGCAGUGGGGAAUUUUGGACAAUGGGCGAAAGCCUGAUCCAGCAAUGCCGCGUGCAGGAAGAAGGCCUUCGGGUUGUAAACUGCUUUUGUACGGAACGAAACGGUCUGGGUUAAUACCCUGGGCUAAUGACGGUACCGUAAGAAUAAGCACCGGCUAACUACGUGCCAGCCGCCGCGGUAAUAC
rnacentral:rRNA from 1 species